rnacentral:rRNA from 1 species
GAUGAACGCUAGCGGCAGGCUUAAUACAUGCAAGUCGUGGGGCAGCAGGGUUGUAGCAAUACAAUCGCUGGCGACCGGCAAACGGGUGCGUAACACGUACGCAACCUUCCCGUUACUGUGGCAUAGCCCAGGGAAACUUGGAUUAAUACCACAUAUUAUAUUGAGGGGGCAUCCCUUUGAUAUCAAAGCUUCGGCGGUAACGGAUGGGCGUGCGGUUGAUUAGGUAGUUGGUGGGGUAACGGCCCACCAAGCCUACGAUCAAUAGCUGAUGUGAGAGCAUGAUCAGCCACACGGGCACUGAGACACGGGCCCGACUCCUACGGGAGGCAGCAGUAAGGAAUAUUGGGCAAUGGACGAAAGUCUGACCCAGCCAUGCCGCGUGAAGGAUUAAGGUCCUCUGGAUUGUAAACUUCUUUUCUCUGGGGCGAAAACCAGCUAUUCUUAGCUAUUUGACAGUACCAGAGGAAUAAGCACCGGCUAACUCCGUGCCAGCCGCCGCGGUAACAC